CAAUAGCGUAUAUUAAAGUUGUUGCAGUUAAAAAGCUCGUAGUUGGAUUUCUGGUCGGAAGCUCCUGUCCUCUGAUGAGCGUACAAGUGCGUCCUACCAUCCUUCUGUUAACCUUUAAGGCUUUCGCGGCUUUCUAGGGGCUCAGAUAUUUUACCUUGAAAAAAUUAGAGUGUUUCAGGCAGGCUAGCGCCGGAAUACAUUAGCAUGGAAUAAUGGAAUAGGACUUUUGCCUCUUCUGUUGGUCAUGAGGCUCGAGUAAUGAUUAAUAGGGAUAGUUGGGGGCAUUAGUACUUAACUGUCAGAGGUGAAAUUCUCGGAUUUGUUAAAGACUAACUUAUGCGAAAGCAUUUGCCAAGGAUGUUUUCAUUAA
rnacentral:rRNA from 1 species